rnacentral:lncRNA from 1 species
UAGGUCUUGACUCUAUCCAAUUUGCCAGUCUGUGUCUUUUGAUGGGGGCAUUUAGCCCAUUUACAUUUAAGGUUCAUAUUGUUAUGUGUGAAUUUGAUCCUGUCAUUACGAUGCUAGGUGGUUAUUUGGCACAUUAGUUGAUGCGGUUUCUUCAUAGUGUCAAUGGUCUUUACAUUUUGGAUAAGAAAAAGAGGGACUCCUCCCUAACUCAUUUUAUGAGCCAGCAUCAGGCUGAUAUGAAAACCUGGCAGAGACACAACUAAAAAAGAAAGUUUCAGGCCAAUAUCUCUGAUGAACAUCAAUGCGAAAAUCCUCAAUAAAGUACUGGCAAACCAAAUCCAGCAGCACAUCAAAAAGCUUAUUUACCACGAUCAAGUUGGCUUCAUCCCUGGGAUGCAAGGCUUGUUCAACAUAUGCAAAUUAACAAAUGUACUCCAUCACAUAAACAGAUCCAAUGACAAAAACCACAUAAUUAUCUCAAUACAUGCAGAAAAAGCCUUCAAUAAAAUUCAACACCCUUCAUGCUAAAAAUGCUCAAUAAACUAGGUAUUGAUGGAAAGUAUCUCAAAAUAAUAAGAGCUAUUUAUGACAAACCCACAGCCAAUAUCAUACUGAAUAGGCAAAAAGAACAAAGAAGCAUUCCCUUUGAAAACUGGCACAAGACAAGGAUGGCCUCUCUCACCACACCUAUUCAACAUAGUAUUGGAAGUUUUGUCCAGGGCAGUCCGGCAAGAGAAAUAAAUAAAGAGCAUUCAAAUAGGAAGAGAGGAAGUCAAAUUGUCUCUGUUUGCAGAUGACAUGAUUGUAUGUUUAGAAAAUCUCAUCAUCUGAGCCCAAAAACUCCUUAAGCCGAUAGGCAACUUCAGCAAAGUCUCGGGAUACAAAAUUAAUAUGCAAAAAUCACAAGCAUUCCUAUACACCAAUAACAGACAAACAGACAGACAAAUCAUGAGUGAACUUCCAUUCACAGUUGCUACUAAGAGAAUAAAAUACCUAGGAAUACAACUUACAAGGGAUGUGAAGGACCUCUUCAAGGAGAACUACAAACCACUGCUCAGGGAAAUAACAGAGGGCACAAUCAAAUGGAAAAACAUUUGAUGCUCAUGGAUAGGAAGAAUCAGUAUCAUGAAAAUUGCCAUACUGCCCAAAGUAAUUUAUAGAUACAAUGCUUUUCCCAUCCAGCUACCACUGACUUUUUUCACAGAGUUAGAAAAAAUUACUUCAAAUUCCAUAAGGAACCAAAAAAGAGCCCAUAUAGCCAAGACAAUCCUAAGCAAAAAGAACAAAGCUGGAGGCAUCACGCUACCUGACUUCAAACUAUACUACAAGGCUACAGUAACCAAAAGAGCAUGGUACUGGUACCAAAACAGAUAUAUAGACACAUGGAACAGAACAGAGGCCUCAGAAAUAACAUCACACAUCCACAGCCAUAUGAUGUUUGACAAACCUGACAAAAACAAGAAAUGGGCAAAGGAUUCCCUAUUUAAUAAAUGGCGUAGGGAAAACUGGCUAGCCAUAUGCAGAAAACUGAAACUGGACCCCUUCCUUAUACCUUAUAUGAAAAUUAACUCAAGAUGGAUUAAAGACCAAAAUGUAAGGCCUAAAACCAUAAAAACCCUAGAAGAAAACCUAGGCAAUACCAUUCAGGACAUAGGCAUGGGCAAAGACUUCAUGACUAAAACAACAAAAGCAAUUGCAACAAAAGCCAAAAUUGACAAAUGGUAUCUAAUUAAACUAAUGAACUUAGGCACAGCAAAAGAAACUAUAAUCAGAGUGAGCAGGCAACCUACAGAAUGGGAGAAAAUUUUUGCAAUCUAUCCAUCUGACAAAUGUCUAAUAUCGAGAAUCUGCAAGGAACUUAAAUUUACAAAACGAAACAAAAAAAGACCCCAUCAAAAAGUGAGUGAAGGAUAUGAACAGACACUUCUCAAAAGAAGACAUUUAUGUAGCCAAUGAACAUAUGAAUAUAAGCUCAUCAUCACUGGUCACUAGAGAAAUACAAAUCAAAGCCACAGUGAGAUACCAUCUUAUGCCAGUUAGAACAGGGAUCAUUAAAAAGUCAGGAAACAACACAUGCUGGAGAGGAUGUGAGAAAUAGGAACGCUUUUACACUGUUGGUGAGAGUGUAAAUUAGUUCAACCAUUGUGGAAGAGAGUGUGGCGAUUCCUCAAGGAUCUAGAACCAGAAAUACCAUUUGACCCAGCAAUCCCAUUACUGAGUAUAUACUCAAAAUAUUAUAAAUCAUUCUACUAUAAAGACAUAUGCACACGUUUGUUUAUUGCAGCACUAUUCACAAUAGCAAAGAUUUGGAACCAACUCAAAUGCCCAUCAGUGAUAAACCAGAUAAAGAAAAUGUGGCACAUACACACCAUGGAAUACUAUGCAGACAUAAAAUGAUGAGUUCAUGUCCUUUGCAGGGACAUGGAUGAAGCUGAAAGACAUCAUUCUCAGCAAAGUAACACAGGAACAAAAACUAAACACCUCAUGUUCUCACUCAAAAGUGGGAGUCGAACAAUGAGAACACAUGGACACAGGGAGGGGAACAUCACACACCAGGGCCUGUCAGGAGGUGGGGGGCAAGGGGAGGGAUAGCAUUAGGAGAAAUGCCUAAUGUAGAUGACGGGUUGAUGGGUGCAGCAAACCACAAUGGCACAUGUAUACCUAUGUAACAAACCUGCAUGUUCUGCACAUGUAUCCCAGAACUUAAAGUAUUAAAAAAAAAUAUUUAGAUAGAUUAUGUUCUCUUUAGACAACACUCUCCCAGUCUGAAGCAUCCAGCACUGGUCUUUGCUCUCUCCUCACCCUUGUGCCCUCUAAAAUCAGCCUUCUCUAAUGCCAUUAUAUCUCUCUUGAGAUGAUACAGAAAGGUCCUACAUAGAAACAAUGGCAUAUUCUAGACCUUCACACAAUACAAAUGAUCAUCUUGUCUGUUGCUAAUGUAUAAGUUCUUCCAAACCAGUGCCAGUUUUAUACAGGUUUCACUGAUCCUUUAGAAAUUGCCAGUAAAGGUCCUGCUGCUUCCUGGGGCAACUUACUGAAAUGAUGCAUAAGAAACCUUGUUAAAAUAUCUCUUAAGAAUUGUGUACCUCCUUUUAGGUAAGAGGAUAAUAGAAUACCAAGAAACACCAAGCAAAGUAGCUCAAAUCGUAGAAAACGAAAUGCAGCCAAGACUUUUCAAACCCAGGGACUUUACCAGACUCCAGUGAGUAGAAAAAAAUGAAUUUUAGAUUAAUAGAAGAACUUUCUAACACUGAGUCAUCAGAAAUGAUAUAUUUAUCAUACUUUUACAUAGGUUUACACAUAGUAGACACUUUUUAAGGAGCUUACUAAAUAUUCACUCAUCUAAUCCUCAAAAAACCAUGUUUGGCAGGGACUAUUAUUAUGCCCCUUUAAAAAAUUUUUUUUUUGAGACAGGGUCUCAUUCUAUUGCCCAGGCUGGAGGGCAGUGGCGCAAUCUUGACUCAUGGUAACCUUGGCAUCCCAGGUCCAAGCAAUCCUCCCACCUCAGCCUCCCAAGUAGUUGGGACCACAGGCAUGCACCACCAUGCCCAACUAAU